CACGUAGGGGGCGAGCGUUGUCCGGAUUUAUUGGGCGUAAAGAGCUCGUAGGCGGCUCGGUAAGUCGGGUGUGAAAACUCUAGGCUCAACCUAGAGACGCCACCCGAUACUGCUGUGGCUAGAGUCCGGUAGGGGAGCAUGGAAUUCCUGGUGUAGCGGUGGAAUGCGUAGAGAUCCGGAAGAACACCGGUGGCGAAGGCGGCCUGCUGGGCAGUAGCUGACGCUGAGGAGCGACAGCGUGGGGAGCAAACAGG
rnacentral:rRNA from 1 species